GUAAUCCCAGCUACUCAGGAGGCUGAGGCAGGAUAAUUGCUUGAAACCAGGAGGCGACGGUUGCAAUGAGCCAAGAUUGCGCCAUUGCACUCUAGCCUGGGCGACAAGAGUGAAACUCCAUCUCAAAAAACAAAACAAAACAAACAAUCAAACAAAACAAAGAAAGAAGGAGACAGACAGAAGAAAUGAGUCAGAGAAAGAGAUGUGAGGAGCAAAUCAGAGUCAGAGAGAUACUGCAUUGCUCACUCUGGAGACAGAGGAAAAGAC
rnacentral:lncRNA from 10 species